ensembl:lncRNA
UGUGACAUCAUCUGUGAAAGUCAAGGAGGGACGAAUGGAAGGUAAUCAUAAAGGUCAAGCUUCAAAAGCUUAUAAAAGUACCAUAUAGUAAUGCAUAUCAUUUAUUUGCUGUGUUCUAUAAACUUCUGAAGUUGUUCAAAUAAUUUGUGUGAAAAAGAGACUGAAAUAUAGGCCGUUCUUCAUCUGGCCCAUAUGUAUCCAUCUUUUGUAAAGCCAACAACGUGGUAAAGUUUCCUUUUCUAAUGUGAAAAUGUUAUGAAUAAAGCUUAUUAUUAAAAGUUCCUCUCCUUUCUCUUUAUCUCAGGUGAUAGUGAUAGUUGAACAGUAAAAUAUGAUUAGUUUAAUGUACUGUAUACUUUCAAAUGAAAUAGCAAAGUAAAAUAGCUAAUAAGAUAAAUUGAGCAAAUUAACACCAAUUAAACAAAUGAUUAAGAAGAAUAAAAGUUGGAAGAUAAGACGAAAUAUACCAGUGAUAGUAAAAGUGAACAAGUUCUGCUGCUAGUUUCUCACACACACUGCUGUGCUUGUGCUGUUUUUUCAGACCGAGCGAGAUUGUGUGUGUAAACCCCUUCAGAAGCAGGAUCUGCUUUUAGACACAGCAAUGAGGAUCGUCCAGACUGAACUCCACAUCAGAGAAACUCACCCUAUGAGAUACACACACCGAUUCAGCACUGUAGAUCAUUCACAGCAGGAAAAAGACCAACGCUUCCUGUGUCUUUCGCUGCAGUGUUAGAUUUAGGCUGAUGGCAAAAUGUUGCAUGAUCCUUGAAAACCAUUACCAAAACUACACAAGAUGAAAGAAAAAAUGAUAUGUAAAUCACAGUUCUGACAUAAUGCACUGUAAAUGACAUCAAGAUUGGAAUGUUUGGAAUCAUCAGCUCUUUUAGUUUCACUGAAGGCAGAUCCUGGAAGACUGCAGCAGAGUUCCACUGUUGCCGAGGAGACAGCUGUCAAUCAUCAGCAGCUGCUGGAAUGCUCCAUUGAGACGCUUCAGGGGGAGCUCAGCUGUGCUGUGAAAGAUGGAGAGACCCUGAGAGAAGAGAGACAUCAGAUGAAGAGGAAGGUGGAGAUGACCACGGUGAACUCAGCACUGCAGAAACAGAAGGAGGACAACAAGGAGCUGAUGGAGAGCCUGGCAGCCUUCAGCAUCAGCAGGUUUAACAUCAAAAGAUCACAGAGUCAGAUGCACGUCAAACGAAGAGUGUGCUAGUAAGUCUCUCUCUCUCUCUCUCUCUCUCAGGUAACUCAUCAUCAGAUUGAACAGAUGCUUGGGGACUUGACAAACAGCAUGAACAAACCGGCCUAUGAGAAGGGCAAUCUGCAGGUCUGUUUAACACAUGUUGCAUGUAUAUGAUUUAUUGCACACAUUUUGCACGGUGUGACAUACAGUGAUGCUUGAACAGUCAUAUAAUGAACAAACAUCAUAUGUCAGAAACACACACCAGGCUUCAAAUGAACAGUGUGUGUGUGUGUGUGUGUGUGUGUGUGUUUACACAGGCACAAGUGCAACAGAUGGUCAUUGAAUUUACUCAACACUCAGCAACACUGCACUGCAGAACACUUACACACAGGUAAACACACACACACACACACUCUAACAAGCACAUUCAACAGUUCUGUGCUGCUCAGGUGUGUGAAACUGAACUGCAUAAACACAGAAAAGCAACUGACACUGGUCAAAUUUGAAC